GUUGUUAAGUGGAUCUAAGCCUAUGUCGCUUACUGGACGCUGAAGUGAUUGGGAAUAUUAGCAGUGGGGGUUCUGUAGGGUCAGGAAGGGGCGGCUGGCUUUGGGGGAGUGAUGAGGGGCUUGUUGGGGGUGGGGGUGCGUGAUAAAGGGAUUUCUCGGCUGAAGACGAGGCUGUGAGGCUUCUGCAGAACCCCCAGGUCAGGCCACAUCAUUGAGGCUGCAGGAUCUCUCUUCAUAGCCCAGUACGACUCUCCGCCGUGUCCCUGGUUGGAAAAUCCAAACACCUAUCCAGCUUCUGGCUCCUGGGAAAAGUGGAGUUGUCAGCAAGAGAGACCGAGAGUAGAAGCCCAGAGUGGAGAUGCCUGCUGAUGUGAAUUUAUCCCAGAAGCCUCAGGUCCUGGGUCCAGAGAAGCAGGAUGGAUCUUGCGAGGUAAACAGGGGCAGCCCUGGGGAUAGUUCUCCAGAACGUGAGGGCAGACACAGGAUGCAGCAGGUCUGGGCUCCCUGCUCCUGAGUCAGUCUUGAGCCUCCUGUCAAGCGAGGACCACAGAGGCUGAUGUUUCCACAUUCAUAGGCUAUCUGUGUUCUAGAGGAAACCAUGAACUGGCUGAUAAAAGAGGAUAGUAGAGGGUUGGCCUUGGGUCAAGAAAGAAGAAACUGUAGUCCCUGGUCUGAUCAGAAGCCCCAGUCAUAGGAUGGAAAAGCUGACUCUUUCCUGCUAAGCACUGGUUCUGCUCCUUCAUCCACCACUGGGUCUUUGAAAAAUUUCAAGUGGUCCCCCCCACCAAAUUCCUUGCUUGGUCCAUGGGGUUUGGCCCGUUUUUCCUCUGUUCUCAUAAGGUGCGGCAAAAUCUCCUUCCUUUGUAAUUUAAAUAGUCACAGGGAGGUAGAGUGAGAAGAGGCUUUUAAGGACCAUGUGAAGAGGCUUUUAAACACUUUUUCCUGUUUAAAAAGGUGAACAAAAAAUGCUGGAAAACAGUGUUUCCAGAUUGCCCACAGAUAGAAAUAGUCAGGAUUUGGUAACAAGAAAUCAGAAUUCUUGGUAUAGUCAAGAUUUCCUGAAAUCCUAAAUUAUUCUGUGUAUCUCUUGAUGCUUUAUUUACAAGUCUUUAAAUAGUAUGUGACUAUAAUAGUAAACAGUGUACCAUUGUUCUGUGAUGGGUUUAUAACCAAAUUUACAGAGAUGUUCUGUUUUUUAAAAAAAGUAUAAUAAAUAUGUGUGUUAUUAUCCUGAACCAA
rnacentral:lncRNA from 1 species